rnacentral:rRNA from 1 species
CGCCAGACUCCUACGGGAGGCAGCAGUGGGGAAUAUUGCACAAUGGGGGAAACCCUGAUGCAGCGACGCCGCGUGAGUGAAGAAGUCCUUCGUUAUGUAAAGCUCUAUCAGCAGGGAAGAAAAUGACGGUACCUGAGUAAGAAGCCCCGGCUAACUACGUGCCAGCAGCCGCGGUAAUACGUAGGGGGCAAGCGUUAUCCGGAUUUACUGGGUGUAAAGGGAGCGUAGACGGCAGCGCAAGUCUGGAGUGAAAUGCCGGGGUCCAACCCCGGAACUGCUUUGGAGGCUGUGCAGCUAGAGUGCGGGAGAGGUAAGCGGAAUUCCUAGUGUAGCGGUGAAAUGCGUAGAUAUUAGGAGGAACACCAGUGGCGAAGGCGACUUUCUGGACUGUACCUGACGCUGAGGCGCGAAAGCGUGGGUAGCGAACGGGAUUAGAUACCCGUGUAC